rnacentral:rRNA from 1 species
UACAGAGGGUGCAAGCGUUGUUCGGAAUCAUUGGUCGUAAAGGGCGUGUAGGCGGGAUUGCAUGUCGGAUGUGAAAUACCUGGGCUCAACCUAGGAAUUGCGUCCGAAACUGCAGUUCUUGAGUACGGGAGAGGGAAGCGGAAUUCCCAGUGUAGAGGUGAAAUUCGUAGAUAUUGGGAGGAACACCGGUGGCGAAGGCGGCUUCCUGGACCGAUACUGACGCUGAGACGCGAAAGCGUGGGGAGCAAACAGG